rnacentral:rRNA from 1 species
UGAGGAAUAUUGCGCAAUGGGGGCAACCCUGACGCAGCAACGCCGCGUGAGUGAGGAAGGUUUUCGGACCGUAAAGCUCUGUCGAGUGGGAAGAAAUGCAUGGUGGCUAAUAUCCAUCAUGCUUGACGGUACCGCUAAAGGAAGCACCGGCUAACUCCGUGCCAGCAGCCGCGGUAAUACGGGGGGUGCGAGCGUUGUUCGGAAUUAUUGGGCGUAAAGAGCGUGUAGGCGGCCGAAUAAGUCAGAUGUGAAAUCCCUGGGCUUAACCCAGGACGUGCAUUUGAAACUACUCGGCUGGAGUAGGGGGGAGGAAAGUGGAAUUCCUGGUGUAGAGGUGAAAUUCGUAGAUAUCAGGAGGAACACCGGUGGCGAAGGCGACUUUCUGGCCCUAUACUGACGCUGAGACGCGAGAGCGUGGGUAGCAAACAG